UACAGACGGUCCAAACGUUAUUCGGAAUCACUGGGCUUAAAGAGUUCGUAGGCGGUCAGGAAAGUGGGGUGUGAAAGCCCUCGGCUUAACCGAGAAUUGCGCUCCAAACUCCCUGACUUGAGGAGGCUAGAGGUAAGCGGAACUGAUGGUGGAGCGGUGAAAUGCGUUGAUAUCAUCAGGAACACCGGAGGCGAAGGCGGCUUACUGGGGCCUUUCUGACGCUGAGGAACGAAAGCUA
rnacentral:rRNA from 1 species